ACGAACGCUGGCGGCGUGCUUAACACAUGCAAGUCGAACGGAAAGGCCCUGCUUUUGUGGGGUGCUCGAGUGGCGAACGGGUGAGUAACACGUGAGUAACCUGCCCUUGACUUUGGGAUAACUUCAGGAAACUGGGGCUAAUACCGGAUAGGAGCUCCUGCUGCAUGGUGGGGGUUGGAAAGUUUCGGCGGUUGGGGAUGGACUCGCGGCUUAUCAGCUUGUUGGUGGGGUAGUGGCUUACCAAGGCUUUGACGGGUAGCCGGCCUGAGAGGGUGACCGGCCAAAUGGGGAAUGAAAACGGGCCCGGACUCGUCGGGGAGGAAGAAGGGGGAAAUGUGGCAGAAGGGGCGGAGGCGGGAGGCGCCACCGCCGGGGGGGGAAGGAGGGCUUUCGGUUUGUACCCGGGUUGCGCCUGGGAGAAGGGGGGGGGGAGGAAAAGGGUAAAAAAGGCCCGGAAAAAUAACGUC
rnacentral:rRNA from 1 species